rnacentral:lncRNA from 1 species
GUGCACUGUAAGAGGUUUUACAAAGAGGAAGGAAAGAGGAAAAAAAACCAAGCUUUUCUUCUAAUGCUGGUGGUUCCUGCUAGCUCCAGUGACUUUCUGCAGUUUUCCCGAUUUCUUUACAGAUUUUAUAGCUUAUAUUCAGUCAUCAAAUCUCUCUGCUUCUGCUCUGGUAUUCAAGAAACACCUUUUUGUCUUCAAUUUACGGAGAAAGAAAUCCUUCCUGAAAGGAUGGCAGCCUCCUGUCCACACUACUCCAUUUCACUGGUCAGGGCUCUGAGGCUCUGGGACACAGCCUUGACUGGGUCAACUGCCAUGCAGAAAUUAAUAUUUCAAAUAGACUGUCAGAUCUUUAUGCUCUGA